UUGAACGCUGGCGGAAUGCUUUACACAUGCAAGUCGAGCGGCAGCGCGGGGCAACCUGGCGGCGAGCGGCGAACGGGUGAGUAAUAUAUCGGAACGUACCCUGUCGUGGGGGAUAACACAUCGAAAGAUGUGCUAAUACCGCAUACGACCUGAGGUGAAAGCGGGGGAUCGCAAGACCUCGCGCGGACGGAGCGGCCGAUGGCAGAUUAGGUAGUUGGUGGGAUAAAAGCUUACCAAGCCGACGAUCUGUAGCUGGUCUGAGAGGACGACCAGCCACACUGGGACUGAGACACGGCCCAGACUCCUACGGGAGGCAGCAGGGGGGAAUUUUGGACAAUGGGCGAAAGCCUGAUCCAGCCAUGCCGCGUGCAGGAUGAAGGCCUUCGGGUUGUAAACUGCUUUUGUACGGAACGAAAAAGUCUUCUCUAAUACAGGGGGCGAAUGACGGUACCGUAAGAAUAAGCACCGGCUAACUACGU
rnacentral:rRNA from 1 species